rnacentral:snRNA from 1 species
UCUGACAUGUGUGCGAGU